AGCUUGCUCUUUUCAGAAUUGAGUGGCAAACGGGUGAGUAACACGUAAACAACCUGCCUUCAGGAUGGGGACAACAGACGGAAACGACUGCUAAUACCGCAUGAUGUUACCGGAGGGCAUCCUUUGGUAACCAAAGAUUUAUCGCUCUGAGAUGGGCUCAUGUCUGAUUAGAUAGUUGGCGGGGUAACGGCCCACCAAGUCUGCGAUCAGUAGCCGGACUGAGAGGUUGAACGGCCACAUUGGGACUGAGACACGGUCCAGACUCC
rnacentral:rRNA from 1 species